ensembl:lncRNA
UAGGUUCUGAAGAGGUAUAAACUACUGCAGAGACCUGCUAAUUGACUGAAGCUGUCUACAUCAUGAAAACCUUCUCACUUUUCCUUCUGACCAUCGUGGCGGUUACUGCAGCACCUCCCACACCAUCGCCAUUAGACGAACAGAGAGUUCAGCGCGUGAUCUUAAAAGAAAUCAUGCAAAGUGUGAAGUAUUUAAACGCCUCUUUAAACAAUGCAGUAAAGAAGAUUUUUGUUCAAGAAGCAAUAACAACCAGACACUGCACUCUGGAAAACUUCUGCAAAGCAGGAAAAGUUCUAGAGAAACUUAAAGCAGAAGAUCUUGGACUUCCGGAAAAAGACUGGCUGUUGCCCAGGAGCUUGGUGGCCUACACAAGAAACAUUCAGUGCAAAUACCCAGAAUCACAACGAAGAGCUGAACUUCAGGACAUUCUGCAUCACAUAAAAAAGUGUGCCCAGAUGACAUAUGCAAAGCCUUUUUGAUAUUUAUAAUGUAACAUCUACAUUUGUGUUUCACAUAGUUUAUUUAAACUUUUGUUGAAAAUGUUCAUACAUUGUUAAUUUAUUCAUAAAUUAUUAGACUAUUUAUCAUACAUUUUUUAUGUAAGACCCAAUGUGCAUAUAUGGUGAC